AGAAAAAGAAAUGAAAUCAAGCAAAAACUAGAACGGGCCUUUUCAAGAAAAAGAAAUGUUCAAGCGAAAAUGCGAUCAAACAGAAUCCAAAGACUGAAUCCGAACCACCCUUACCGACAUCUCCUUCAACUCAAUUUCAACAUCAUUUUCAUUGGACCGGAAUUGUAGAAUCUAGCACCGAAAAUGAAAUGUAACCGAAUCGCACCUUGCGGUGAAUUGAUAAGGAAACAUGGAUCUUAUGGAUUUUGCCAAGAAAUACACCAAUGGUUGAAGAGAGAUAGAAGCAUAAAUCAUCGGUGCGUGACUCUUCGGCGAUGAUAGGUAUCAAAUCCCUUCCUAUUCUUCCCCCGUUCUCCUUCUUCUUCUUAAAAUCCUUGCUUUUGCGUGCGUUCGAUCAUGAGUGACGAAAAUGUUUACGCAAUCAUUAUGCUCGCGUUGAAUUAUUGUGGAUGAGGGAUCCUUUUGCUGCGUGAAUGAGAGGAAGUGAGUGAAUCGUGUUGUUGAGUGAUGAAAAUGGAUCAAAGAUUUUUGUAUCCUCUAUGAACUUAUAUAAAAAGUUAGUAUGAAAACCAGAAUCCAUCUUCAUUUCUGAAGCUGUGAGUGAAUAUAUAGGGCUUGAAAUUCUGUUAGAAAUUUAUGUGAAAUGCAAUUGAAAUUCAAACUGAAACUCAAAUGUGGAGUUAGUUAUGAUUGUUAGUUAGGAAUUAAGAAAACAGUUAGAGUGAAAUUGAAAAUGAAAUACCAUGGAAAUUAACCAUUCUGAAUCUUUUUAGAGGAAUGAAGUUAUGUUAUAAUUUAAUUGUAGAUUGAAGUGGAGUGAAAGAAAGUGGUUAUAUUACUGCUGUUAGUUUUAUUAAGCUCAUGGUACAGUUAGAUAAUUUGGAGUCGUGCGAAAUCUCUUGGUUGUUAUGUGCACUGUUAACCGUUUACUUCAGUUAUGCUUGAGAUGUUAAUGGUUGAUUUCUUAAAUUGGUGCUUGAUCUUGAUGGCAAUUCUAAUGGCCUGCUUGAUUUUAUUGUGCAGAUUGUUGAAUGCCCGUGAGUUAUCAUGGUGUCCUGAUGUUGUUAUUUUGCUUUGGCUUUGUUUCAAUUCUAACUUGAUAUUAUGCAUUUCUUAGCUAUGAGUUCUGCAUUGCGUGAUGUCUUUCUUGACCUCAUAUGGUGCAUUGCUUCACAGUUUUCACUUGUUCCAUUCUUACUUUGUAAUGCUAAGUUUCUAUUCUCCUUUCGAACUUUGACUUUGAUUCAUUGGCUUGUUUUUCUAGGUCUAUGUUCAUUAAUGAAGUAUGCCAUGAAGUGGACAAUGGUUGGACAAAAGUUCAUGGCGUCAAAGUUGGAUUUUAAAGUAUCCAACUACAGAUGGUCAACCAAAGAUAAAGAAUCAAACAUUGAAGAUUGGAUUAGAAAUAGGAUGGGGAUUUAUGUUUUUUUAUUAUCAUGUUAAUUAAGGGCUUGAAUUGGACAUUGUAACUUGGUUAUAAUUUGAACCAUGUAUGUUGUAUGAAUGUAUUAUAAAAUAGAUUGGAAUGAAUUUUAUAGAAAGGUUUUGAAUGAAAAUAUGUAGUCUUCAAAUGGCAUUGAAUUAUCAUUAAAUAAUGUUUAAAGGAUGAAUAUUGGAAUUGAAUUGUUGAAUUUAUGAUUU
rnacentral:lncRNA from 1 species